rnacentral:misc_RNA from 1 species
CGCUAGCCAUCCGUACGUUAGCACGUUAGUACGUUUCCGGUUGGUUGUUGGGCCGUGAUGGGGCCGUGCAGCACGUGCAGCGGGAAACGGGUAGGAAGCAUGGAGGCGUGGUAGGAAGCGUGUUUUCGCAACACCACCUAGACUGGGUGUUCUCUGCUAGCACAACUAGCAGACUUCCAGCACAAACUGCACUUGUGCGGCGUAGAUGGCCUUUAACGGCUGUACUUCGGGACGUGAUCGAUGGUGAUAUAUCAGCCGCUGCAUACCAUAAUAAUGUGGUAGAGAACGUGUGAACGAACCAACGAAACGCACGCGUUACACGUUAGAACCAAUUCUACUAUAUUAUAGACGUUCUCUGACAGAGCUUGCACAGUAUCAGCGGCGUGACCGGCGAGGGAGGGAACCGACAAGCACGCCAACUGCCGGCACCACCAGGCACCACCGAGAAAUCUCGUCGAUCUCGUCGGCGCCGCAAGCAUGGAGGAAAUGGGGGCUACGUGGGCGCCUGGUUUGAAGCAUCCUGUGUGGUUUGUGCCACUUGCUUUGAUCUUCUCGCUCUUGUUUUCUCCAAUGAAUGCGAGUCUCCAAUCUUAUGCCCUCAAUGAUGCUCCAGUGCAGAUAAUCAAGCCUAGUGAAGACCACAAGACGCUAAUUAUAGAUAAAGAAAAUAUAAAGGCUAUCUAUAAAAUCAAAGGUCCUGUGGCUACCAUUGGUGUUGUAGGAAAGUUCCACUCUGGGAAAUCUUUUCUGAUGAACCAACUUAUGGGGAAGACUAAAGGAUUUGGCAUUGGCCCCUCUGUUCAGCCUGAAACAAUGGGCAUCUGGAUGUGGGGAGAGCCUUUGAAAGUACAGUUGCCGUCAGGACAGCAGCUUUCCCUUAUUUUCCUUGACACAGAAGGUUUUGCAGCCACAAAUGUGUCUGAAAACUAUGAUGCCAAGAUAUUUGCUAUUGCUACACUGAUCAGUUCACACCUUAUUUAUAACUCUGUCAAGAUUAUUGACCAAAGUGAGAUAGAUUACCUGGAACUCUUGUCCAGGCGUACACAGCUUUUUGCCUUGAGGUCACAGUUGUCUCAAGCCAAGUGGAAGGGAGAGUUGGUUCAUGACCUGCUAAGCUUUCCUCCUUUGCUGUGGGUUGUGCAAGACUUUGUGCAGGCAACAAUAAACAAUGAAACACCCACACAGUGGCUUCACCGGUUGAUGGAAACACAUACCAGGGAGAGUGAAGAAUACAAAAUUAGCCUCUUGGACCUGUUCAAGUCUUUGGAAUGCCACACGCUUUUUAUACCAGCUUUCAAGCGGCCCCUCUUAACUGACUUGUCACAAGCAUCUGAAGAAGAUCUCACGGAAGAGUACAUUGAGGAGCGCAAUGCGCUUACAAAGAAACUACAUGAGGUGUUGGUACCCAAAACAAAAAAUGGCAAACCAAUCACAGGUGCUGAGCUUGCUGGCCUACUCCAAAUCCUUGUAGAUGCUGCCAAUGAAGGAUCCCUUGCUGAUGUCCCAAGUCGGUGGAGUGCCUUUGUUGACCGCCUCAUGAGCUCUGCAGCAGACGAUUGUUUGAAGAUUUACAUUAGUGAUAUGGAUUCUCUACUUGAAAAACAUAACAACGGUCCAAUCCAUGAUGACCUUUUUAUGGCCCAGCAUACAGAAGCAAAAAAGACAUCUUUCAUACUACUUCGACAGUUACUGCAUGGUCUUCCAGAUGCCUUGAGCACUGCUAGUAGCCAGUUGACAAAAAUGUUGGACAAUGACUUUGCUUUUCGAAAAGAGAUGAAUUCCAAAAGGAUUAAACUCUUUUGCACAAGUAUGCGAGAUAAGUAUCUGCUUGAUGCUGAGGGCUAUAUGAAAAGUAUCCCUUUGCCAACCACAAGUGCUACUCUUGAAGUAACCACAAGUGGUUACAUCAAUAGCCUGCUGGAAGCAUUUGCUAGAGAAUUAUUAUCACUUUUACCUGAGGAAGACAUUGCCAACUACAAAAACUCAUUGAAGCAAUCCCUGAACCUUUUGGUGGACUCAAUACAGCUGAAGAAUGAAAGGGCUGUGAAUAAACUCUUUGAAAACUGCAUGGCCACAGCCAAAGAUGUUAUGUCUUCUAAGGUAACUCUCACGGGUUUUCUGAGUGAUGCACAGUUUGAAAGACUCAAGAAGUCUGGAGUUGAUGCAGCCUUUGAGGCGUUUGAUUUGGAAUGUGGAAACUUCUCAAGUGAAACGGCAUACGGACUCCAUGAAGCUAAGCUCAAGGUAUCCCUGAAUGACUUUAUUAAGCGGAUCAAAAAUGAAAAUGAUGAUCUUGUGCAGCAGCACAUGGCUGAAACUGUCAAGGCACUGCUUACUAAAUUUGAAGAAAAAACUGGACCUGACUAUAUGCCCUUACCCAUGAACACUUCUGAGCUUGACCUCAGCCUGAAGAGAGAAAAGUCAAACACAGAGUCCCAGUUUGCAGGGGCUUUAGAAGAUUUUCAAUCUUCAUCUUACUAUUCACAGUUCUUCGAAGAGCUCAUGCGAAAGUUAUCCGAGAAAUCAAAGGAGCGGCACAAGGAGAAUGUAAAGGCAUUUGCUCAGGUUGUGGAUGGGCCACUGAGUAAAGCCCGCCAAAUCAUUCUUUUAUCUUCGCAUAACUAUAGAACAGAGUUUGGUCUUCAAUCUUACAUUAUGCAAGUGUGCCUUGUACAGUUGGAAGAUGGAAAGGCGAAGCAUUGGCACGAAGACCUCAAGAAAAGCAUUAUUAUGGAUUUCAUGAAUGCAGACCCAGACCUUGCCAAGGCUUUGAGGGACGUUAAGGGAUUUUGGUCAAGCAUCCUGGGCUUCUUUCUUUGGUUCUUUUGGAUGUUAGGUAUAAAACUGUAGAACCGAUUAACUAGGCCCAUAAAUAACAGUAUUAGUGUUUCAAUAGUUAGUCUGACCAAUAACCGCACUAACUACAAGUGAAAAUUUUAGCAGGCCCAAAAAUGUUAGAGUACAGCAUGAGUUGGUAGUUUUUUUGUUUUGUUUUUUAACAAAUAAUUCAUUACGGGGUACAGAUGAAAUCCCUUUAAGCACCUUUCACAAUGUUGUUCUUCCCAACAGCUUCUCUAUGUUAUGCAAUCAUUUGUUUUAUGCAAAGCUUAAAUAAACCUCCAGUUUAUUCAUUGU